AACGAGCGCUGGCGGCAUGCCUAACACAUGCAAGUCGAACGAGACCUUCGGGUCUAGUGGCGCACGGGUGCGUAACGCGUGGGAACCUGCCCUUAGGUUCGGAGUAACUCCCCGAAAGGGGUGCUAAUACCGGAUAAUGUCUUCGGACCAAAGAUUUAUCGCCUUUGGAUGGGCCCGCGUUGGAUUAGCUAGUUGGUAGGGUAAAAGCCUACCAAGGCGACGAUCCAUAGCUGGUCUGAGAGGAUGAUCAGCCAGACUGGGACUGAGACACGGCCCAGACUCCGACGGGAGGCAGCAGUGGGGAAGAUUGGACAAUGGGCGAAAGCCUGAUCCAGCAAUGCCGCGUGAGUGAUGAAGGCCUUAGGGUUGUAAAGCUCUUUUACACGGGAUGAUAAUGACAGUACCGGGAGAAUAAGCUCCGGCUAACUCCGU
rnacentral:rRNA from 1 species